AGGAUCCCACUACCACCUUGGGGAGGCCAUUUUUCCUUUUCAGGCCAAGGAAUGGAAGAUUCAUUGACAACAAGGUCCAGUAGACAAAGCAAGGAUCCAAUUGAACAGAAGAGUUUGGAUCUGUGGAGGAAAUGCCAAGUUGCUUUAUGUGUAUAUUUAAUGAUAUUUCUGUUGUUCGAUGCUCUCCAAAAUACAUUGUAUAAAAAAAAAUGAAGCAUCACUGAUAUAACAUCUUUAUUUUUGUUGGAAGGCUGUGGGAAUAGGUACAUUGCAUGAAUAAUAGACUUCUAAGGAAUUACUGACUUGGGGAUGAAGCAAGCUAACUUGAUAACUGAGCACAUAGAUUUAGGAUAACUAAGAUCCU